rnacentral:rRNA from 1 species
GAUGAACGCUGGCGGCGUGCUUAACACAUGCAAGUCGAACGGAAAGGCCCUGCUUUUGCGGGGUGCUCGUGUGCCGAAGGGGGGAGAAAAACGCGUGUAACACGCCCUUGUAUUUGGGAUAAAACCAGGAAACUGGGGAGAAUACAGCAGAGGAGCUAUUGAUCCAUGGGGGGGGUUGGAAAGAGUCGGCGGUGGUGGCUGGACUCGCGGCUUACGAGCUUGUUGGUGGGGUAGGUGAUUACCAAGGCUUUGACGGGUAGCCGGCCUGAGAGGGUGACCGGCCACAUUGGGACUGAGAGACGGCCCAGUCUCCUACGGGCGGCAACAGUGGGGAAUAUUACACAAUGGGCGGACGCCUGAUGCGGAGACGCCGCGUGCGGGAUGACGGCCUUCGAGUUGUAAACCGCUUUCGCCUGUGACAAAGCGUGAGUGACGGUAAUGGGUCAAGAAGCACCGGCUAACUACGUG